ensembl:lncRNA
UCUUAACUUUCCUUUUCUUAUUCUCUUUGUGUUUCUGCCUAAAUCACAUUCUUCAGUGAAGGUGAAGCUUCAUGACUCUGCUACUCUGCGCUGCUCUGAGAGAUGUUCUGGUUUAGCGAGAUGGACUGUGUUCCAUAAACCCAGAGAUGCUCUGGCUGAGUGUGAUCAGACUUCAUGUAGAUCAGUGAAGGAGGGAUAUCAGAUGAUCCAUGAUCAGUACCUGAAGGGAGAUCUCUCUCUCACCAUCACUGACACCGAUUUCAGCAAGAGAACCUCAUACACGUGUGACUGUGAUGGUAAAGAUCUCUGUGACGUGGCCCUGAAGAUUGAAAGUAAGUGUCCGUCUGUUUCCUUCACUGAGCUUUACUGCCUGAACUCCAAUGAUUUGAGUUCUGUGUUUAGUGUCAGACCUGCAGUCAAUAAAUGACAUUCCUGAUUGUUUUUCUCCUCAGCUGUGAAUACUCUAGUUCAGAUAAAGGCCGGUGAAUCUCUGGUGCUGAAUUUGGACAUAUUAGAUCCGUUGGAGGUGAUUUACGACUGCAGAGGAGCAUCUGGAACAUUCAGUGGUCAGAUCUGUACAGUGGAUGGACAAUCACUAGAGUGUAAACCUGAAUAUAAACACAGAAUGUCUAAACUAACAUCUGAUCUAGAGCUGAGAGAAAUGAAGCCGUCUGAUAGUGGAGUUUACACUAUUCGGGACAUCAAGACUAAAGAGGACAUUCACGUCUAUUCAGUGAUUGUCCAAGAUAAACCACAGCCUCCAUGGUGGUCAAUUGUAUUGAUAACUGCCUUUGUGAUCCUGGUAUUGGUGGCACUUUCGCUUUAUCUGAUGAAGUACAGUCAGACAUGCAGAAGAAGGAUUCAACGUUUCUAUAGGUUUGUGCACAUGCUUGAAAUCUACCAUUUAAUCAAUGAGAGAUAAAAAUCCAUCAACCUCCCUCUCCCUGUCUCCCUCACGUUCUCCUUCGCUCUCUCUGUCUCACGUUCUCUCUCUUUCAUGUACAUGUGUGGCCGUCUGAGGUGUGAGUGGACCAUGUGUGAGAGCGUCUGGC